GGCCCCUUGGUCAAGCGGUUAAGACACCAGCCUUUCACGCUGGUAUCAGGGGUUCGAUUCCCCUAGGGGUCACCA
rnacentral:tRNA from 1 species